rnacentral:rRNA from 1 species
UACGAAGGGUGCAAACGUUGCUCGGAAUCACUGGGCGUAAAGCGCACGUAGGCGGCUUUUCUAAGUCAGGGGUGAAAUCCUGGAGCUCAACUCCAGAACUGCCUUUGAUACUGGAGAGCUCGAGUCCGGAAGAGGUGAGUGGAACUCCGAGUGUAGAGGUGAAAUUCGUAGAUAUUCGGAAGAACACCAGUGGCGAAGGCGGCUCACUGGUCCGGUACUGACGCUGAUGUGCGAAAGCGUGGGGAGCAAACAGG